rnacentral:rRNA from 1 species
CCUACGGGAGGCAGCAGUGAGGAAUAUUGGUCAAUGGACGAGAGUCUGAACCAGCCAAGUAGCGUGAAGGAUGACUGCCCUAUGGGUUGUAAACUUCUUUUAUAUGGGAAUAAAACGUUCCACGUGUGGGAUUUUGUAUGUACCAUAUGAAUAAGGAUCGGCUAACUCCGUGCCAGCAGCCGCGGUAAUACGGAGGAUCCGAGCGUUAUCCGGAUUUAUUGGGUUUAAAGGGAGCGUAGGUGGAUUGUUAAGUCAGUUGUGAAAGUUUGCGGCUCAACCGUAAAAUUGCAGUUGAAACUGGCAGUCUUGAGUACAGUAGAGGUGGGCGGAAUUCGUGGUGUAGCGGUGAAAUGCUUAGAAAUCACGAAGAACUCCGAUUGCGAAGGCAGUUCACUGGACUGCAAAUGACACUGAGGCUCGAAAGUGUGGGUAUCAAACAGGAUUAGAUACCCGAGUAGUC